rnacentral:rRNA from 1 species
AGCCGCCGCGGUAAUACGUAGGGGGCAAGCGUUGUCCGGAUUUAUUGGGCGUAAAGAGCGCGUAGGCGGCCAUACAGGUCAGCUGUGAAAACUCGAGGCUCAACCUCGAGACGUCGGUUGAAACCGUAUGGCUAGAGUCCGGAAGAGGAGAGUGGAAUUCCCGGUGUAGCGGUGAAAUGCGCAGAUAUCGGGAAGAACACCCGUGGCGAAGGCGGCUCUCUGGGACGGUACUGACGCUGAGACGCGAAAGCGUGGGGAGCGAACAGGAUUAGAUACCCUGGUAGUCCACGCCGUAAACGAUGGGUACUAGGUGUGGCGGGUGUCGACUCCCGCUGUGCCGAAGCUAACGCAUUAAGUACCCCGCCUGGGGAGUACGGCCGCAAGGCUAAAACUCAAAGGAAUUGACGG